CCCUACGGGGCGCAGCAGGCGCGAAAACUCUACAAUGCAGGCAACUGCGAUAGGGGAACAUCGAGUGAUACUCAUCUUGGGUGUCUGUCCUUCCGUCUAAAAAACGGGAGUUAGCAAGGGCCGGGCAAGACCGGUGCCAGCCGCCGCGGUAAUACCGGCGGCUCGAGUGGUAGCCGAUAUUAUUGAGUCUAAAGGGUCCGUAGCCGGCUUUGCAAGUCUUUUGGGAAAUCCAGCGGCUUAACCGUUGGUCGUCCGGGAGAUACUACAUUGCU
rnacentral:rRNA from 1 species